UGAGGCGCAUGCGUAUUAACAAGGCGGGAGGAGGGGGCCGGGCUUCUCAGGAGCAGCGACGUUACGAGUCGACAGUGGGCAGUGCUUUCGCCGCCAUUUUGCCUUUGAUUUCCCACCCCUCCUCCUUCCUUUCUUCCUGGCAGCAGAAAGAAGCAAGGACGCGUGAGGUGGAGGCUCGGUCUCUUGUGUGCGUUUUGUUCUCCUUGUCCCUCCGGUAGUCUCGUCGAUAGAUAAGGACAGGAAACCGGCGUCAUGUCCGCUAGUAGAAACCUAAAGCAAGUGAAGAUUGAGAACAGCUCGCCGGCGCCCGCUCCCCCGAUGAGUAUGGUGGGCGGCGGCAGCAUGAAAGGGCUGAGGGGGCUGGAGCCGCCGCCGGAGAACGAAGCAGCCAUGGCGAUGGUGAAAGAGGAGGAGGACCAGAGCGGAGGCUUCACCGUCGACAUCAAGAGCUUCCUCAAGCCCGGCGAGAAGAGCUACACGCAGCGGUGCCGACUCUUCGUGGGGAAUCUGCCCACCGACAUCACUGAGGAGGACUUUAAGCGCCUUUUCGAGCGCUACGGGGAGCCCAGCGAGGUCUUUAUUAAUCGGGACCGAGGUUUCGGCUUCAUCCGCCUGGAAUCUAGAACUCUGGCGGAAAUAGCUAAGGCAGAACUUGAUGGAACAAUUUUGAAGAGCAGACCUCUCCGAAUUCGAUUUGCUACCCAUGGAGCUGCUUUAACAGUCAAGAAUCUUUCACCUGUUGUUUCCAAUGAGCUUCUGGAACAAGCUUUUUCUCAGUUUGGCCCCGUGGAAAGAGCUGUUGCUAUUGUUGAUGAUCGUGGUAGAGCCACAGGAAAAGGCUUUGUAGAAUUUGCUGCUAAACCUCCAGCUCGUAAAGCUCUGGAACGAUGCAGUGAUGGCGCAUUCUUGCUAACAACAACUCCUCGACCUGUUAUUGUAGAACCAAUGGAGCAAUUUGAUGAUGAGGAUGGGCUGCCUGAAAAACUAAUGCAAAAAACACAACAAUAUCAUAAGGAAAGAGAACAGCCACCACGUUUUGCCCAACCUGGAACGUUUGAAUUUGAGUAUGCUUCACGAUGGAAGGCUCUUGAUGAAAUGGAAAAGCAACAGCGGGAACAAGUUGAUAGAAACAUUAGGGAAGCUAAGGAGAAACUGGAGGCAGAAAUGGAAGCAGCUCGUCAUGAGCAUCAGUUAAUGCUGAUGAGACAAGAUCUUAUGAGGCGUCAGGAGGAAUUGAGACGCCUAGAGGAACUUAGAAAUCAAGAACUGCAGAAGCGGAAGCAAAUACAACUGAGACAUGAAGAGGAGCACAGACGGCGUGAAGAAGAGAUGCUGCGCCAAAGAGAACAGGAGGAAUUGAGGAGGCAGCAGGAAGGAGGAUUUAAGCCAAAUUUCAUGGAUAACCAAGGCUUUUGACUUAGUCACAUACGACAUCCUCCUAAAUAAGCUUUGGAAAUGUGGACUGGAGAGGACAUAAAUGGGGAUGCACAGUUGCUUGAAAUACUGCACAUAACAGGGAACUUUUAAAAUACUGAUGUGCAGUUGAAGAUCUGCGGAAGAUGUGUGGUUGACCUGUAUUCCAAGAAUAUGGCAAUGAAGGAAGUUGGAUCCUUACUUGUUUCAGUAAAUAUGAUUUCUACAGCAGAUGAACUAUGCAGAAUUACAUGCAAGCAGCUGCUGCACUGGGAUAUUCUUACUCGAGAAGGAAAUUCUCUGAGGAGUACAUGCUGUCAGAGAUUGGAAUACGGCUAUAAAAUCUCAGCCAGCAUUUGUCCUGGAGAAUCCUUCAUGGAAUCGUACAUCAGAAGACUUCUUUAUUACAUCAUUAUUGCAGUUUCCAUAGAAUUGAGGAAGUAAUCUAGUAUCCUAUGAUAAUACUAUAUACAACCUGCUUAUGAAACAAUCACAGUCAAUGCAUCCAUACAUGUAGCUUCAUCUACCCGUGUUUUAUUUCCACCAUCAUCUGUUUUGGACUGCAGAUUAUUUAGGAGCAGAGAUUUCUCUAUUUUUACAAUGUGAUUAUUAUGCUAUGUACUGUAGUGUACAGUAAACAAUUUUAUUUAUUUAUCUAUUUGAUUUUAGUUGUAUACUGCCCUUUUAGCCUAAGGCCACUCUGGGCAGUUCACAACAUGAUCGAAUAGUAAAACAAUACUACAAAUAUAAAAUAAAAUCAACAUAUAACUACCAUAAAAUAAAACAGUAAUUAAACAAUUACAAUAAUAAGUAUGACAUCACCACUACCAUGGUUGACCAUAUGAUUGGUUCAGUCUUCUAGUAUUACUGUUUUUCAUAAUGACAGUCAAUUUCCUCCUCACUACUAAAGGUUUUGGUUUGAAAAUAAAGAUUUUGUGAUAUGUUAUGACUUGCAUUGAAAGAUCUUUGUAUUUCUAACAACUGGGAUCUCAAGUAGACAGACUGAAAAAGUCUGUGCCAAAGAAUGAGAAAGUAAUAUUGCCCUGGUCUGAUUAUGUGCUUUGGAAAAUAUACUUAGCAAUUUAGGAAAGAAAUCGACUCGGGAAAGUUUUUCUCUCUUUGCCACAUUAGGAGGGACAACAUUGAAGUUUUUAGCUAAUUGUGAAUAUAAUUUGGCCUCAACUCUCCAGUUUUGUUAAUGGUACUUCUGUGUACUUCAGCACUAUGACAUCACAGGAGAAAGAUACCUGCUUUUCAAGAAUUCUGCAAGAACAUUUUUACAUAUUUUGGGCAAAAGUAUUAGAGAAGGCUCUCCUUCAAGGCAAUAUAUAUAUUUUAAUUCUAGUAUAAUUAACUGUGACAUUAAAUGCUGAUUUUAGCACUAAA